rnacentral:lncRNA from 1 species
GGUGCCCAGAAACCGCCCAGGGAACUGCAGUCAGUUGUGCCCUUCCACGAGACCAGAAGGGUUUGAGUCAUGACUCUGYGUGGAGCACUUCGAAAGGAAGUCUCAGAGCUAUUCACAAGCUUCAAAACAAAUAAUCUCUCUGCUGAUGCGUGACAUCAUGCCCCCAAGCCUUUAAUCACACGCAGCUCCCCCGAGGAGGAGAACRAGCGCAGCGACACACACCGUUUUCGACAGGAAGUGAGGAAGAGAUCCUGCACAGCGCGCCUGAGAAGCGAGACGUCCUUCCUACCAGGCGCUGUCUCCCAACGUCAGCGAGAGCAGCGGGAGUGCGGAGUGCCAAGGGAGGGCGCACGCUGAGUCCAGGCCUGUCCCCAGCAGUGGGUGGUGCCACUAUUUCAGCCGCCGUUUACCCUGAGCAUCACACAGAGAACGGUCUGCCAAGCAAUAGCUCCGCCACAGGACUUUCAGCUGUUAUUUUUUUACUCACAGAUCCACCUCUCGGAUCAUUUUGGCUUUCUGAAGUCUGCCCCCAGACUGAUUGCAAAUACAGAGUCAGCCGGUUAUUUUCUGUACCUCAAAUGGCACGGGCUGAGUAAGGUCAGACCUCUUCCAUCUACUCCGAUCAGCUGCUACUCCCUGCGCUUAGACUUUCUUUGGUUUGAUGCCGGUGCUGUAAGCACAGAAUCCUCCUGCACAGAUCUACUCUUUAAAACUGUCACGUAUUUCUUCAGGAAAAAAAAAAAAUCCUCCUGUGAAACUACAACGUUGGGUCUGACGGCGCGUAGGCAGACGUUACAAUGACGUGAGACAGCUUCCCAGCGUGAGAGGCUGGGCCUGUGUGGCGGCGUCACCGUUACCAGGUCUCGCGUAAACUAGGCUCACUGCACUGUGGGUGUAGUUCAGCUGGAGAGAAAAGUGAUGAMAGAACAAGCUCCUGGCUGUGGAGCUCCAGUCUAACACUGGAGUUUCAUGGCAAGAAUAAAGUCAGUCUUUAUCCACA